AUUGAACGCUGGCGGCAGGCCUAACACAUGCAAGUCGAACGAGUGGCGGACGGGUGCGUAAUGUCUGGGAAACUGCCUGAUGGAGGGGGAUAACUACUGGAAACGGUAGCUAAUACCGCAUACCAUCAGAUGUGCCCAGAUGGGAGUUGCUUGUUGGUGGGGUGACGGCUAACCAAGGCUGCAAUCCCUAGCUGGUCUGAGAGGAUGACCAGCCACACUGGAACUGAGACACGGGCCAGACUCCUACGGGAGGCAGCAGUAGGGAGUAUUGCACAAUGGGCGCAAGCCUGAUGCAGCCAUGCAGCGUGGAUGAAGAAGGCCUUCGGGUUGUAAAGUACUUUCAGCGGAGAGGCGUUACCCGCAGAAGAAGCACCGGCUAACUCCGUGCCAGCAGCCGCGGUAAUUC
rnacentral:rRNA from 1 species